UGUGGAAGUAAAAGUCGUAACAAGGUUUCCGUAGGUGAACCUGCGGAAGGAUCAUUACCGGAGUGCGGGCCCUCGUGGCCCAACCUCCCACCCUUGUCUCUAUACACCUGUUGCUUUGGCGGGGCCCACCGGGGCCACCUGGUCGGCCGGGGGGACAUCCUGUCCCCCGGGGCCCGGCGCCCGCCGAAGGCGCUCUGUGAACCCUGAAUGAAAGAUGGGGCUGUCUGAGUACUAUGAAAAUUGUCAAAACUUUCAAACAAUGGAUCUCUUGGUUCCGGCAUCGAUGAAGAACGCAGCGAAAUGCGAUAAGUAAUGUGAAUUGCAGAAUUCCCGUGAUUCAUCGAAAUCUUUGAACGCCACAUUGCGCCCCCCUGGCAUUCCGGGGGGCAUGCCUGUCCGAGCGUCAUUUCUGCCCUCAAGCACGGCUUGUGUGUUGGGUGCGGUCCCCCCGGGGACCUGCCCGAAAGGCAGCGGCGACGUCCGUCUGGUCCUCGAGCGUAUGGGGCUUUGUCACUCGCUCGGGAAGGACUGGCGGGGGUUGGUCACCACCAAAAUUUACCACGGUGACCUCGGAUCAGGUAGGAGACCG
rnacentral:rRNA from 1 species